rnacentral:rRNA from 1 species
GCGGGGAAACUCACCAGGUCCAGACACAAUGAGGGUUGACAGAUUGAGAGCUCUUUCUUGAUUUUGUGGGUGGUGGUGCAUGGCCGUUCUUAGUUGGUGGAGUGAUUUGUCUGCUUAAUUGCGAUAACGAACGAGACCUUAACCUGCUAAAUAGCCCGUAUUGCUUUGGCAGUACGCUGGCUUCUUAGAGGGACUAUCGGCUCAAGCCGAUGGAAGUUUGAG